CUGAUGAACCUGUCUGCGCGGCAUUUCCAUACAAUGCGUGCCUGUGUGCGGCUCGGGGAGGAUGGGGAAGCAGAGCCCACCCGCCCCGCUGCUCGGAGCAGGCAAGCCCAGACGUCUCGUCGCCUGCUCCUUUCCCCCGCCGAAAGGGUGACGGAGAAGAGCGCGGCGCCGCGCACGUGUGUCAGGGUUCCCUUGCAUCUUGUUUGGAUUUUUUCCUUUUGAACCAGACCAGUGUUUUUACAACACCCUUCCAGUCAGAUGAGUAUUAGCACUUUUUCUUCUAACAUUCUUUUUUAAAUUACAUUUGCAAAAGUUUCAGAAAAUGGCUUUUCUCUUGUUUUUCUUUCUUUUUUUCCCCCUCAGUGAAUGUUCUUCAUAUCUACUGGCCCACCAAGAAUUUGUGGUAGUUGCUGCAGAAUUAGUGGUAGCAAUGCUUGAUGGUGACUUGCAAGCAGCAGCUUCAAUAUGCAACUUAUCAAGAAUGAAAUCAACAGCUGGUAUCCUCUAAAGAUUUCCUACUGGUAUCACUUACCACAUUAAUUACAUUCUGAGCGUGCAUCCAAUGGACUGAGCUGUGUGGAUUUUUUUUUCUCAAAUCUGAAUAAUCUAUUGAAUGUCUCCCUUUGAAGAAAGAAGAUUUUUUUUUCUGCCAUCCAUUCUGUGAUGGAUUACACCAAAGAUCUCUGCAUCAACCCAGGAUGAGUUGAUAUGGAAGCACAUCCUUUCUGGUUAUACAGCCUCCUCUCUAUAUAUACACUCCAGACAGUAUAUCAAUACAUCUAGGAAUAAGAUCUAUUGGAAAUAUUUUGUUUUCUUAGUUUAAUUUGUGAUGUAUUAAACUGUCUGUUUGGCUCCAAUCCUAAUCAUAAUACCAGUCAAACUGGCAGAAAAACCUACUCUUGGCCUUGAAAGCACAAAAAGGAAUCAACAAAAUUGGUGACUUACACAUAACCCCACCUCAUGCCCUCCCGGACGAGCAGCAGGAGCAGCAGCAGGAGCUGCCAGAUUAGCACUGGACAAGUGGUGCACAGCGGCGGAAACCACUCCACCCCACAUCCCUUCCCACACUCCCCAAACCAGCCGUGGCUCUGUGCCACACCUGCCCACCCCUUCCCUCCCUCCUCCCCUCCCCUGCCCCCUCACACUACUCCAGACUUAUUAGCUGUACACAGCUCUCCACGCUGCCGCCUCUGCUCCUCACUGCCUACGUGCUGCGCUGCAGCUGCCCACAUGCACGGGCAUUUAUUGGACAAAUUAUCAGCCACAUCAGGCCGAUUUCCAGUACAGAACAUUCUCUUCAUAUCGGUGCCAAUCUGAUAUCAGACUGAAGUAUCAGUGCACCUCUACCUGAAAGAUGAAGAUAUGACAUAUUUCAAAGAUUUUUGUCAGUUAGGUUCAUCAGCAUCAAGAAUGUACCAAAUAUUUAAAGAACAGAAUGAAACAAUUAGGGGAUGAGAAAGUCCAGGAACUGGUUCUCAAGCAGAUAGCUCUCCUAGGUAAUUUGAGGUCCAAGCUAAGUAUCAAAUUCUGUAGCAGUAAUGCAAACAUUAUUGUAUCAUAAUUCUGGCUGUCCAAGGUUGUCUUGGGGGACGAUAUUGUGGAGAACAGCAGUCUCCCACCUGGCUGGCUCCCUACUGAUCACACCAGGAGAAGCUAUACACUGGUGUGAUGACUUAGCAGAAGAAAAAUCGUAGAUUUGACUGAAAAUUCUCAAAAGUGCCUCAAGUCCCAAUGACUUCUUUAAAAGAAUGUAUCUUUGUUUCUAGAGAAAGGGUUAAUGUAAUUUCUUGUCAUCAGAACAAACACAACAAAUUAAACGGAGAAGGUCCUCAGCAUCAGCUUCAGACUAGUAAACCCCAACUCUCCAGAGGAUUUCUACCUCUUGAUCUCCCUAGUGGACAUCUUGCAGCUCUUCUCCUGAGCCUCAAGGCAAGGCUAAGAAGACGCUAUACUAGAAUCCUCCCCUCAUCCCCAGCCACGAGGGUGUGUCCCUGUAUUCAGCCUCACAAUCUUAAUCAGGUGGAUGAGGUUCAUUAAAUAUGGGCUAUGUACUGUCA